rnacentral:rRNA from 1 species
ACUCCGUACGGGAGGCAGCAGUAGGGAAUCUUCCACAAUGGGCGCAAGCCUGAUGGAGCAACACCGCGUGAGUGAAGAAGGGUUUCGGCUCGUAAAGCUCUGUUGUUAAAGAAGAACACGUAUGAGAGUAACUGUUCAUACGUUGACGGUAUUUAACCAGAAAGUCACGGCUAACUACGUGCCAGCAGCCGCGGUAAUACGGAGGGGUGCGAGCGUUAAUCGGAAUUACUGGGCGUAAAGCGCAUGCAGGCGGCCUGUUAAGUCAGAUGUGAAAGCCCGGGGGCUUAACCUCGGAAUUGCAUUUGAAACUGGCAGGCUAGAGUCUUGUAGAGGGGGUAGGAAUUUCAGGUGUAGCGGUGAAAUGCGUAGAGAUCUGAAGGAUACCAGUGGCGAAGGCGGCCCCC